ensembl:lncRNA
AAUUGAAAUGUAUACGCUCACUGGGCACUUUAAUAGGAACACCUGUACCCCCAUGCAAUUAUCCAAUCAACCAAUCAUGUUGCAGCAGCACACUGCAUAAAAUUAUGCAGAUACACAUGAAGAGCUUCAGUUAAUGUUCACAUCAAACGUCAGAAGGGGGAAAAUGUGAUCUCGGUGACUUUGACUGUGGCAUGUUUGUAGACAGGCUGCUUGAGUAUUCAGAUUCCUGGGAUUUUAAUGCCACAGUAUUGUGUAAAAAAACAAAACCCAUCCAGGUUGUUGGCAGUUCUGAGGGAGGAAACACCUUGGUGAUGAGAGAGGUCUGAGCUGAAAGGAAGGCUACGACAAAGAAGAUGAUGCCAAGCAUACCUCAAAUUCCACCAAGGCUUGGUUGCAGAAGAAGUCCUGGAAGAUUCUACAGGGCCAUCACAGUCACCUGACUUAAACCCCAUAGAAAAUCUCUGGUGGGAUUUCAAGAAGGCAGUCGCAGCACAAAAACCCAAGAAUAUUACUGAACUGGAGGCCAUUGUUCAUGAGGAAUGGGCUAAGAUUCUUCAGGAAUGCCCCUAGAAGCUGGUGUCUGGCUAUUCAUCUCGUUACAGCAGGUCAUAACAGUAAAAGGGUGCUCUACUAAGUACUAAAGACGCUUGCCAUGAAGGGGUUGAAUAAUGUUGAAACUGGAGAAGUCAUUUGUCAUUUGAAGUCAAGAAACCAUUGAAGAAUUAAUUGUGUUAAACCAUUCCAAUUGCUUUUGUUUGAUUUGUUCGUUGCAAACAGCUGAAAGUCUGUACAUUUUGACAAUAAACCUGAUUUGCAAUGGGGGUUGAAUAAUUUUGAUUGCAACUGUAUACAUGGAUAUAUAGCAUAUACAGAACCAGGCACAGGUUAAGUGUAGGGUUCUCAGUGUAAACUCAGUAAGCGGGUUCAAUGCAGAUGUUUCACUUCACAGCCUGAGGAGGAAAAGAAAAAUCUCCAUUACCUGACUUCAUAUUUAACACCCAGCACUGCACUUACACCGUGGGUGGAGAAGAUAAUGCUCUGAAAAGAGAGGUGGGGGAAAAAAAACAAAAAUUAUAAAAUUAAUAAAGCUUUUUAGCUGGCAUAAUCAGUCAUUUUGAACUUGACUGGAGAGAGCAACAAAACAAAUAAAAUUU